rnacentral:rRNA from 1 species
AGAGUUUGAUCAUGGCUCAGAUUGAACGCUGGCGGCAUGCCUUACACAUGCAAGUCGAACGGCAGCACGGGUGCUUGCACCUGGUGGCGAGUGGCGAACGGGUGAGUAAUACAUCGGAACAUGUCCUGUAGUGGGGGAUAGCCCGGCGAAAGCCGGAUUAAUACCGCAUACGAUCUACGGAUGAAAGCGGGGGACCUUCGGGCCUCGCGCUAUAGGGUUGGCCGAUGGCUGAUUAGCUAGUUGGUGGGGUAAAGGCCUACCAAGGCGACGAUCAGUAGCUGGUCUGAGAGGACGACCAGCCACACUGGGACUGAGACACGGCCCAGACUCCUACGGGAGGCAGCAGUGGGGAAUUUUGGACAAUGGGCGAAAGCCUGAUCCAGCAAUGCCGCGUGUGUGAAGAAGGCCUUCGGGUUGUAAAGCACUUUUGUCCGGAAAGAAAUCCUUGGCUCUAAUACAGUCGGGGGAUGACGGUACCGGAAGAAUAAGCACCGGCUAACUACGUGCCAGCAGCCGCGGUAAU